rnacentral:misc_RNA from 1 species
GUGUGUGUGCGCGCGCGCGCGCGCGCUUGGUAUGCACGUACGUGUAUGGUGUCGGUCGUCGCGCGCGAGUGUCAUGCAUUUCCAUGAUGAUCAGCCUCGAGAGCUCGAGUGUCGCCGAGGCACGUCGAAACAAUAACGUUAUUUCCAAUCAACGUAUUUCCGUUUUCCGUCGGGUAGGUGACAUGCCUAGCAGUCGUGAUAUUGAACGAGCCGAACGUAAUGGGAAAUUUCGUUCGCGAAGAAGGGGCAGCACGAGUAGCGACGUGAAUCGCCACAGUUUCGAUGGUAACGAUAAACGACACAGGAGACAUGGCAAAAAUAAGAGCUCUGGGAAGAAAAAGAAGAAACGUUCGCGUGAUAAAUCAUUAGAGACAGUUCCAACUGUAGCUUCGUCUGUUGUGAAACCAUUGGUCGAAUAUUCGGACGUAAGUAGCGAAGAUCUCUCGGAACCCGAAGCGGGAGAAAUACAAUCGGAGGAGAGUCGCGCCAAUAGUUACACAGAUGGAGAUGUACCUGGAUCACUUCUUCCAAGACGGUAUUAUGGUGGUAGCCCGGCUCGUACUCUUGGAGCGUCGCCCAUCAGCCUAUCUCCAUCACCGUCACUUCAGCAUCGACAUUCUGGCAGACAAUAUUCUUUAUCAAAUGAACAACAACAGACGACGAUGCACGGCGCGACACCAGAGUACGAGGAAGAGUCGAGACGGUACGCCCGACGAAAGGAAAAAAAGCAUAAACGCGAGAAGAAAAAGAAGAAAAGUUUGAGUCCGUCGUCGAAUUCGGGAAAGAAAAAGAAAAGAAAAUCUAAGAGACAUUCUCAUAGCUUGAGUCCUCGCGCUCUUAUCGAUGAAAUUAUUCCAAGUCCAAACCACGAGAAACAACCAUCAGCAGCCUCUGCCAAUUGGUCGGAAUCACCACCAUUACCAUUAAAGGACAACACGUCGCCAAUCUCACCGGCUACGCCGCGUGAACAGAGGUGUCCUAGCGACGAAGUUGAGCUGGAGAUAUCGAGGCAAACAUCUCGAAACGUGACACCACCAUCUCUUUUGUCAACGCGGCAGAUAGAAUCGCCGCACACGCCGUUAAUGCCUCCAUGUGCCACAACGCCGGAAAAUUUAAGUAAAGCUGGGUCCAUUUCCAUGCCGAAGCAGCAUCCCAGUCCAGAUCGGCAAAAACGUAGUCCCAGUAUUCAUGUAACACGGCGUGUCAGCGUCAGUCCCGGACCACCCGUCAGUGCAAACCGCAGAAGGCCGCAUAGCCCGAGUCCACCAUCAAGACGAAGAGAUCACAGUCCUCCGUCGCGAAGAAGAGACUUUAGUCCUAUUCCAACACUUCACAGACUUAGACACAGUCCCAGUCCGGCUACUGUUAGACGACGAGAGUUUAGUCCAAGUCCUGGCAGUAGUCACAGGCGACGAACCGACAGCGGAGUUGGUGGUUCUCCUAAACGUAGAAGACGAGACGAGUCUGAUCGACGUCAUCGUCUUCACGAUAAGGACAGGAGGGACAAGCGGAAAUCAAGAUCGACUAGAAGUCCUACUGGAAACAGAUUGCAUUUGCCUCUAUCACGAUCGCGAUCACGUAGUCCGGGAAGAUGGCGAAAGUUGUCUCGCUCGAGAUCACGUUCGCGCCCAAGAAGAAGUCGCACUCCAAAGAGAUCGCGCUCGCCCAGCAAGUCUCGCAAGACUUUGAGGAAACUCAAGUCGAAGAGUCCGCGUCCUAGAAUACCUUCUCCUUCUCCUCACAGAUCCCGAGCUAGAAGUCCCUCGAGCAUCACUGCCCGAAAUCUUCGAGUACAAGCUAAGAUUAGCGAAACCAGUCUGUUCGCGGAACUUGUCAAAGACCGAAAUAUGAGAGAGUUGGCAUAUAAGAAACUACAGGCCGCUAAGGAGAAAGUCGGGAGUCAAGAUGAGGUACAGAUUAUAGAAAGUACCGAUGAGAAAGAUGGCGAUGGUGGCAGUGUGGCAGCCUCCGAGAAUAAAGCUUCCAUUGACAAUAAGGACAGAUCUAUAAAUCACAAGGAGCAAUACGCAAAGAUUAGCGAUAACGUAGUCGACGUCACUGAUAUUCCUGUUCCGACGAGCGACGACGGUGCUGUAGCAUGCAAAACGCCACCGUUACCACCAAUUGGUGCACCACUACCCAAUUCGAUAUCCACUGCGGUAAAUCCACUUGCUUCUCAUGCGAUCGUGCAUUCAACCUCGCCCAAUCCACCAUCGAUGAUGCCCAACAGUUGUCCGAUUGUUGUAUCGCACAGUCCGAGUUUCCCAACUUCCGCAUCUGGAAUACAACCACAACCGCCACCACCGCCGCCACCACCACCACCAUUACCACUGCCGCAAUCCGCUGAAUCUGUGCCGGCAGUCUUGACGCAAGUAUCCGCUCCUAUACCCAUAUCGGUACCGCCAAUCCCGCCGACACCGAUUUUGCCUAACAUGUCCGUUCCACCGCCACCCAUUCCACCGAUUCCCGUCCCAGCUCCCAACACGAUAAUGUCCAAGUUUAAUCCACCCAAUAAUCUUGUACCACUCAAGUCUGUGGACCCUCCCAAACCUCCUAUAGUAACAUUUACGACCAAGAGCCUAAAGAGAUUACCAUUGCCACCUGGCAUUAAUCAGAAUGAUUUGGAAAGCAUAGACUCUCCGCCGAGUCGUUCUCCCAGUCCUCCCAGUAAAGCGCAGUUGAAGUUUCCAACAUCGACAAAACCAUUGCAGAAGAAAAGUAUCAAGGAUCUACCAAUGCCACCAGUCGUACCUGGAUCGGAAGAUUUAAGCGGAGAAGAUGAUCCAAACGCAACGCCGCCACGUUUAAAGGUCGAACGAGUGGCACCAAAGCCAAAAUUGAAAAGACCGAAAAUAUUAAAACGCCGAGGAUCACGCAAUUGCUACGCUCCUAUGUCGGCUUCUGAUGGCAAGGAUUGGGGCGAACGAUGUGUCGACGUGUUUGAGUUUAUUGCACAAAUCGGAGAGGGUACAUAUGGACAGGUGUAUAAGGCACGAGACAAGCGAUCUGGUGUAAUGGUAGCUUUGAAAAAAGUCCGACUUGAAAAUGAGAAGGAAGGCUUUCCUAUCACGGCAGUCAGAGAAAUAAAGAUUCUACGACAGCUCAAUCACAAGAACAUUGUUAAUCUUAGAGAAAUCGUUACUGACAAGCAAGACGCGCUGGAUUUCCGAAAGGAUAAAGGUUCCUUUUAUCUAGUUUUUGAAUACAUGGAUCAUGACUUGAUGGGCCUGCUGGAAUCUGGCAUGGUAGAUUUCAAUGAGAUGAAUAACGCUAGUAUUAUGAAGCAGUUGUUGGAUGGUUUAAAUUACUGUCACAGCAAGAAUUUUCUGCAUCGUGAUAUCAAGUGUUCAAAUAUAUUGAUGAACAACAAGGGCGAGGUUAAACUGGCCGAUUUUGGAUUGGCACGACUUUAUAACGCGGAUGAUAAACAGAGACCGUACACCAAUAAAGUGAUCACUUUAUGGUAUAGACCCCCCGAACUUUUGCUAGGAGAAGAACGUUAUGGGCCUGCAAUUGAUGUCUGGAGUUGCGGAUGUAUCUUGGGAGAAUUAUUUUCUAAAAAACCUUUAUUCCAGGCCAAUAUAGAUGUAAUGCAGCUGGAGAUGAUUUCGAGAGUUUGUGGGACGCCCACUCCUGCUGUUUGGCCUUCUGUGAUAAAAUUACCACAUUGGCAUACGCUUAAGCCAAAAAAACAGCAUAGAAGACGUCUGAGAGAAGAUUUCUCAUUUAUGCCAGGAGCAGCCUUGGAUCUCCUGGAUAAAAUGUUGGAAUUAGAUCCUAAUAAGCGGAUAACGGCGGCUGAUGCGCUUAAAAGUGCUUGGUUGAAAAACGUUCAGCCUGAACAGAUGCCAGCGCCGCAGCUUCCGACUUGGCAAGAUUGUCAUGAACUCUGGAGUAAAAAACGGAAGCGCUUGUUACGGGAACAGCAAGAGAGUGCUGCAGCAAAGUUGCCUCCUCUCCUUCCCUUUUCGAAUAAAGGUCCCAACAAGGAUGAUUUAUCAGACGUCGGGGGUCGUUCGAACACGACGAUGGCUAUAACGCAGAACAAUGGAAAAUAGAAGCACGAAACACCCUUCUCUGUUCGUGGCUUCGCUCUACAGAAAUUGUUUAUUCUUAAACAAUUGAUUUGAUAGACUAUAUGUGAGGAGAUAAUAUUAUUGUGGCUGAUAGAUGUGAAUAAUAGAUGGACAAAUUUUGUAGCACAUGUAAGAAUAUAUAAUAGGUAA